ensembl:lncRNA
AAAAAAAAAAAAAAGCAUAUUGACCAUCUUUGUUAUUAAUUGACUUAAUGAGGAUCUAACCACCUCUAGCCCAUCCCGGAGAAGUUAAUUGAAGGGGUUGUGUUUAUAAUCUGCUCUGAGAGCCCUAAUCUUCUGUUCCAGUGCUGCCAAGCCACGGAUUGAUUGAUUGAUUUUGGUCUCUUGGAGCACAAUAACAACCUCCUGAGGCAGACUUGGCAGUUUCCCAAACACAAAGUACAUGGCAUGAGGAACAAGGAAAAAAAUAUAUAGUCUUCUUCAUGGCGCUUGAAUAUGGGUUGCUAGACCCUUCUUCCUGGAAAAUGCAAAACAAAAAGAUCUUGAGCUCUUAGGCACGCUCCAGAACCUAAGAAAGAGUUGUUUGUGGUACUGUUGCUGUCAGCAGGGAACUCGUCUGUCCGUACAGAUGAUGGCUGGUGAAAGUUUUUCUGAGAAUUGGCGUGGGGGUGUUAAACCACCAAACAAAACAGGAGGUCAUCUCUGUCUUCGAAGAGCUGGUGGGAGACAUGGUCUUACAGAGUGGUGAAUUCUAACCAGGCUGCUGUGUUUAGCUUUGGCGAGGCGGCUGUGGGUCUGCGAGAUGGUAUUUGCAUACAAUAGCAUGGAGGAAUUUAAAUUAAUCUGGGAACAAAAUCCAGCAGAAGCAGUCUGCACAAUAUAAUGAGGUGUGUACCCCCUCCAGGUCCACAGCACUUCUUGUUUCUGCGUGAGUGGUCUGUUCUUUGUCUAAAUAACUCCCUCUUUCACGAAGACCCGAAGGUAAAGUUUACAGAAGCCCUUUCUCAUGCAGGGUCCUAUUGUCUCUUGCUGGCAAGAGACAAACUGCUGCUCCAAACACCAUCUCUGAAGGUCCUGCCAGAGCGACCAGGAGACGACAGCCCUUCUGGGAGGCAUCGCGGAAAGCUCAGGUGCAGCUUACCACAAUUGAGGCAGAAGAAAGGUAUUGCAGUUGAGGUUUUUGUGAACUUGAUGCAUAAUAGAGGUGAUUGCCGUGGAAAGAGACAUAUGUAGCAUUUAAAUGCCUCAGCCAGUGGUGAACAGAUCUGCAGAAAAUAAUUAGAGGACCCCCCACUGUCACCCCCCGCCACCCAAAGGAAAAAAACUUGAUGCUGUAUGAGGCAGCAGAGGCGUCCUUGAGCAGCGGGCAGAGCUGCCAGGCACUGCACCCAGGGGUCCCCUGCUGCUGCCUCCCCCUGGGGAGCUGGCACCGACGUGGACCAGCCAGGUCCAGCCCAACAGAAAAUGCUGUAGAACACAGAUCACCUACCAAGGUGUGCCUCCUACCCAGGCAGAGCUUCGCUCACAAUAAUUUGCUUUGCUGUGAGUGGGACCUCGUGGCCUGCCGACGAAAAAAUCCAUGGGGAUGGGAGGCGUCCUUCGUUUCUUUCUUUCCUUGCUAAGCUCGGCAACUAUGCUGGGUGGCUGCCUUCAGCCAGCCCCGUGUGACAUGGCAGCAGUGUAUUUUCAGGAUAUCAUUUAAGGGAAGGGGGAACAAAUUAAAAGGGCAAGACAUAGUGAGCUAGUAACACAAAGAAGCUGCUCAGGGAUUUCUGUGGCUAUUGAAUAUACCACGUGGCACUUGAGCUGCCUUGUAGAACUGUGGUGCAUGUUUCAGAUCAAUAAAAGGGCCAUCUGAAAUUUGUUUUCCCUGAAA